UACGUAGGUGGCAAGCGUUGUCCGGAAUUAUUGGGCGUAAAGGGUGCGUAGGCGGUUUGGUAAGUCUUAUGUGAAAUCUAUGGGCUCAACUCAUAGUCUGCAUGAGAAACUGCCGGGCUUGAGUAUGGGAGAGGUGAGUGGAAUUCCUGGUGUAGCGGUGAAAUGCGUAGAUAUCAGGAGGAACACCUGUGGCGAAAGCGGCUCACUGGACCAUAACUGACGCUGAUGCACGAAAGCUAGGGGAGCAAACAGG
rnacentral:rRNA from 1 species